UACGGAAGGCAGCAGUGGGGAAUAUUGCACAAUGGGCGAAAGCCUGAUGCAGCUAUGCCGCGUGUAUGAAGAAGGCCUUAGGGUUGUAAAGUACUUUCAUCGGGGAGGAAAAAACAAAACUAAUAAUUUUAUUUCUUGACGUUACCCGAAAAAGAAGCACCGGCUAACUCCGUGCCAGCAGCCGCGGUAAUACGGAGGGUGCUAGCGUUAAUCAGAAUUACUGGGCGUAAAGAGCACGUAGGUGGUUUUUUUAAGUCAGAUGUGAAAUCCCUGGGCUUAACCUAGGAACUGCAUUUUGAAACUGAAAUACUAGAGUAUCGUAGAGGGAGGUAGAAUUCUAGGUGUAGCGGUGAAAUGCGUAGAUAUCUGGAGGAAUACCUGUGGCGAAAGCGGCCUCCUAAACGAAUACUGACACUGAGGUGCGAAAGCGUGGGGAGCAAACAGGGAUUUAGGAUACC
rnacentral:rRNA from 1 species